rnacentral:rRNA from 1 species
AGCGAACGCUGGCGGCAGGCUUAACACAUGCAAGUCGAGCGGGCACCUUUCGGGGUGUCAGCGGCGGACGGGUGAGUAACGCGUGGGAACGUGCCCUCUUGUUCGGAAUAACUCAGGGAAACUUGAGCUAAUACCGGAUACGCCCUUUUGGGGAAAGGCUUGCUGCCGGAGGAUCGGCCCGCGUCUGAUUAGCUAGUUGGUGAGGUAACGGCUCACCAAGGCGACGAUCAGUAGCUGGUCUGAGAGGAUGACAAGCCACACUGGGACUGAGACACGGCCCGGAAUCCUACGGGAGGCAGCAGUGGGGAAUAUUGGACAAUGGGGGCAAGCCUGAUCCAGCCAUGCCGCGUGAGUGAUGAAGGCCUUAGGGUUGUAAAGCUCUUUUAUCCGGGACGAUAAUGACGGUACCGGAGGAAUAAGCCCCGGCUAACUUCGUG